GACGAACGCUGGCGGCGUGCUUAACACAUGCAAGUCGAGCGAGGUCCAUCCGGUGGCAACACCGGAGAAGACCUAGCGGCGAACGGGUGAGUAACACGUGAGCAACCUGCCCCGAAGACCGGGAUAACAUCGGGAAACCGGUGCUAAUACCGGAUGCCCUCAUCGGACCGCAUGAUCUGAUGAGGAAAUGGAUUCCGCUUCGGGAGGGGCUCGCGGGCUAUCAGCUUGUUGGUGAGGUAACGGCUCACCAAGGCUACGACGGCUAGCUGGUCUGAGAGGACGACCAGCCACACUGGGACUGAGACACGGCCCAGACUCCUACGGGAGGCAGGAGUGGGGAAUCUUGCUCAAUGGGCGAAAGCCUGACGCAGCAACGCCGCGUGGGUGAUGAAGGCCUUCGGGUCGUAAAGCCCUGUCAGAUGGGAAGAAACCUCUCCGCGAGGGGAGCUGACGGUACCGUCGAAGGAAGCACCGGCUAACUCCGUGCCAGC
rnacentral:rRNA from 1 species